UACAGGGGGGGCAAGCGUUGUUCGGAAUUACUGGGCGUAAAGGGCUCGUAGGUGGCCAACUAAGUCAGACGUGAAAUCCCUCAGCUUAACUGGGGAACUGCGUCUGAUACUGGAUGGCUUGAGUUUGGGAGAGGGAUGCGGAAUUCCAGGUGUAGCGGUGAAAUGCGUAGAUAUUGGGAGGAACACCAGUGGCGAAGGCGGCUCGCUGGACCGGAACUGACGCUGAGGCGCGAAAGCGUGGGGAGCAAACAGG
rnacentral:rRNA from 1 species